rnacentral:lncRNA from 1 species
UAAAUCACAGUGCUCUCUGAUAGAGUUAUCAUGAUUUAAGCUGGAAAAGGGUUUGGUCUGAUCUACUGUAGGACAUCAUCAUGGGUUCUCCUUUCUCAAAGGCUGAUAAUAAAAACAAUACAAAAACUUCUUCUGCACAUUGUCAGGAAUCAGGACUAAGGAAAAGAAAGAGUAAUGAGUCAUUCCAAGAGACAGGGUCACCAUGGGAUUUGUGAUGUUAUUUGCCACAAAUGCGACAGGAUUGCUGUAAUAUUGUGUAGUGACUGUUUGCAGUUGUGGUGGCCUAUUUGGGAGAAAAUCCAGGGACGUUUUUCACUCCCAGUCCGUCCUCGAGUUGAACUACAGUCAUUUUAGUAAAGCCAUGGUUCAUUUUCAUUAGGGACUGCCAGUGACACGCUGUUGCACAAAUAAAAUAAAAAAAAUGUAUUCUGACAGUGUAUGAUUUAUAUUACAUUACAGAAUAGAACAUGAUCAAUAAGAACUUUUAAUGUAGGCUAUAAUUUAAAUAAAUGUAAUUGCACAAAUUAUGUAGACUAUACCAUGUCAGUUUGUUUAUUGUGAAAUAACUCAAACAUACAUGUUUUUUCUGUCCUCUGGUAAGAAUUGUUCUGAGCUGCCAUUCCAAAAAACAUCAAUGCUUUCUUAUGAAACGCAGCCCUGUUUGAAU